AUUUUAAGAAAAAGUUUAUUUUUUACCUGAAAAACUCAUUUUUUGGGCUCGUCACAAGCCCCCAAUCUCCUUUGGAACCCGCCCAUCGUAUCCUAUGUCCAAAUCCGUGUGGUUUAAAAAAAAAAAUCACCCCGAUCUGAUGCCAGAUCGUAAAGUUAUCGCCUUCCGAACACUCUCCAACAAUCCAAACCCCCCUCACGCCUCUCACAAACAAACCAGUUGGGCACUCAAACAAUAAUUUCUCACACUUGAAUCGAGGACACAGUUUGGAUGGUGGAAUGAUUGAGCUACAUUUGGAUCCCCAUGUAAAUAAAACCGGAGACAUCUGGCACAUGCACAUAUUGCUGAUGGAAAGAUCUUGUUGUAUAUGAAAUGAAUGUUCGCACGUUUACAGCUGAUGAAUCUUGUGGGUUGGAUCCAGACAUACGUGGCAGCUACCCAGGUUUGAUAGAAAAGGUUUGAAUGCAUCGGUCUUAUUCCUGGUAUCGACACAGGUUUGCGUCGGCCAUUUCUAUAAAGUUCCUAUGUUCUGAGAAUAUGGAAAAGUUGGAGAAACAUAUAUUAUAUUUCAGAACAUAAUCUAGAUUAGUGUAUUUUAUUAAUGGUUUAAUUAAAUCUGUGCUCAAUAGCUUAACAGGUUCAAAGACAUCUGACAAGGCCUGAAAAUUUUAUAUUACAACUGUUUAAUGUAACAUAGUCAGGGUUGCUGGUGCAAUGGAUGAU